AGGGGUAUAGCUCAGUGGUAGAGCAUGUGCUUAGCAUGCACGAGGUCCUGGGUUCAAUCCCCAACACCUCCA
rnacentral:tRNA from 1 species